UGUCUUAUGGUGUAAUGGCAGCACAUCAGAUUCUGGCUCUGACGAUCUAGGUUCGACUCCUAGUAAGACAA
rnacentral:tRNA from 1 species